AGGAUGAACGCUGGCGGCGUGCCUAAGACAUGCAAGUCGAGUGGGUUUAGACCCACGGCGAACGGGUGAGUAAUACCUAGGAACUUUCUUUAAGUGGAGGAUAACCAGUCGAAAGAUUGGAUAAUACUUCAUGUGGCAGUAAUGCUAAAGUCGCAAGACGCUUAAAGUGAGGCCUGGGCACCAUCAGCUAGUUGGUAAGGUAAUGGCUUACCAAGGCUAUGACGGUUAGGGGUCCCGAGAGGGAUAACCCCCACACUGGAACUGCGACACGGUCCAGACUCCUACGGGAGGCAGCAGUUUGGAAUUUUGGACAAUGAGCGAAAGCCUGAUCCAGCGACGCCGCGUGGACGAUGAAGGCCUUCGGGUCGUAAAGUCCUUUUGCUCGGGAACAAUAUUUUGAGCGUACCGAGAGAAUAAGAGGUUGCUAACUCUGUGCCAGCAGCCGC
rnacentral:rRNA from 1 species